rnacentral:rRNA from 1 species
GACGAACGCUGGCGGCGUGCCUAAUACAUGCAAGUCGAACGCAUUUUCUUUCACCGUAGCUUGCUACACCGAAAGAAAAUGAGUGGCGAACGGGUGAGUAACACGUGGGUAACCUGCCCAUCAGCGGGGGAUAACACUUGGAAACAGGUGCUAAUACCGCAUAAUUCCAUUUACUGCAUGGUAGAUGGAUGAAAGGCGCUUUUGCGUCACUGAUGGAUGGACCCGCGGUGCAUUAGCUAGUUGGUGGGGUAACGGCCUACCAAGGCUGCGAUGCAUAGCCGACCUGAGAGGGUGAUCGGCCACACUGGGACUGAGACACGGCCCAGACUCCUACGGGAGGCAGCAGUAGGGAAUCUUCGGCAAUGGACGCAAGUCUGACCGAGCAACGCCGCGUGAGUGAAGAAGGUUUUCGGAUCGUAAAACUCUGUUGUUAGAAAAGAACAAGGAUGAGAGUGGAAAGUUCAUCCCUUGACGGUAUCUAACCAGAAAGCCACGGCUAACUACGUGCCAGCAGCCGCGGUAACAC